GAUGAACGCUGGCGGCGUGCCUAAUACAUGCAAGUCGAGCGAACAGACGAGGAGCUUGCUCCUCUGACGUUAGCGGCGGACGGGUGAGUAACACGUGGAUAACCUACCUAUAAGACUGGGAUAACUUCGGGAAACCGGAGCUAAUACCGGAUAAUAUAUUGAACCGCAUGGUUCAAUAGUGAAAGACGGUUUUGCUGUCACUUAUAGAUGGAUCCGCGCCGCAUUAGCUAGUUGGUAAGGUAACGGCUUACCAAGGCGACGAUGCGUAGCCGACCUGAGAGGGUGAUCGGCCACACUGGAACUGAGACACGGUCCAGACUCCUACGGGAGGCAGCAGUAGGGAACCCUCCGCAAUGGGCGAAAGCCUGACGGAGCAACGCCGCGUGAGUGAUGAAGGUCUUCGGAUCGUAAAACUCUGUUAUUAGGGAAGAACAAAUGUGUAAGUAACUAUGCACGUCUUGACGGUACCUAAUCAGAAAGCCACGGCUAACUACGUG
rnacentral:rRNA from 1 species